rnacentral:rRNA from 1 species
GACGAACGCUGGCGGCGUGCUUAACACAUGCAAGUCGAGCGGUAAGGCCCUUUCGGGGGUACACGAGCGGCGAACGGGUGAGUAACACGUGGGUGACCUGCCCUCAGCUCUGGGAUAAGCCCGGGAAACCGGGUCUAAUACUGGAUAUGACUCCAUGACGCAUGUUGUGGGGUGGAAAGCCUUGUGCGGCUGAGGAUGGGCCCGCGGCCUAUCAGCUUGUUGGUGGGGUGAUGGCCUACCAAGGCGACGACGGGUAGCCGGCCUGAGAGGGCGACCGGCCACACUGGGACUGAGACACGGCCCAGACUCCUACGGGAGGCAGCAGUGGGGAAUCUUGCGCAAUGGGCGAAAGCCUGACGCAGCGACGCCGCGUGAGGGAUGACGGCCUGG